AACGCGAAGAACCUUACCUGGGCUCGAAAUGUUAUGGACCGGAGUAGAAAUAUUCCUUCCCAGCAAUGGGCCGUAAUAUAGGUGCUGCAUGGCUGUCGUCAGCUCGUGUCGUGAGAUGUUGGGUUAAGUCCCGCAACGAGCGCAACCCUUAUCCCCAGUUGCCAUCAUUAAGUUGGGCACUCUGGUGAAACCGCCUCGGAUAACGGGGAGGAAGGUGGGGAUGACGUCAAGUCCUCAUGGCCUUUAUGUCCAGGGCUACACACGUGCUACAAUGGCCGGUACAAACCGUCGCAAACCCGUGAGGGGGAGCUAAUCGGAAAAAGCCGGCCUCAGUUCGGAUUAGAGUCUGCAACUCGACUCUAUGAAGCUGGAAUCGCUAGUAAUCGCGGAUCAGAAUGCCGCGGUGAAUACGUUCCCGGGCCUUGUACACACCGAGACGUA
rnacentral:rRNA from 1 species